GAUGAAGAACGUAGCAAAAUGCGAUAAGUAAUGUGAAUUGCAGAAUUCAGUGAAUCAUCGAAUCUUUGAACGCACAUUGCGCCCGCCAGUAUUCUGGCGGGCAUGCCUGUUCGAGCGUCAUUUCAACCCUCAAGCACAGCUUGGUGUUGGGACUCGCGUUAAUUCGCGUUCCCCAAAUUGAUUGGCGGUCACGUCGAGCUUCCAUAGCGUAGUAGUAAAACCCUCGUUACUGGUAAUCGUCGCGGCCACGCCGUUAAACCCCAACUUCUGAAUGUUGACCUCGGAUCAGGUAGGAAUACCCGCUGAACUUAAGCAUAUCAAUAAACGGAGGA
rnacentral:misc_RNA from 1 species